rnacentral:rRNA from 1 species
UGGGGAAUAUUCCGCAAUGGGCGAAAGCCUGACGGAGCAACGCCGCGUGAGGGAAGAAGGCCUUUGGGUUAGAUACCCCAGUAGUCAUGGGGAAUUUUCCGCACUGGAGAUUAGAUACCCCAGUAGUCAUGGGGAAUUCUGUGCCAUCAGCCGCGGUAAUACAGAGGACGCAAGCGUUAUCCGGAAUUAUUGGGCGUAAAGCGUUCGUAGGCGGCCGUUCAAGUCUGCUGUCAAAGUCCGAGGCUCAACUUCGGGAAGGCAGUGGAAACUGGACAGCUAGAGGUCGGAAGGGGCAGAGGGAAUUCCCAGUGUAGCGGUGAAAUGCGUAGAUAUUGGGAAGAACACCGGUGGCGAAAGCGCUCUGCUGGGCCGAACCUGACGCUGAGGGACGAAAGCUAGGGGAGCGAAAGGGAUUAGAUACCCCUGUAGUCAUAUGGGGAAUUUUCCGCAAUGG